UACGUAGGGUGCGAGCGUUGCCCGGAUUUAUUGGGCGUAAAGAGCGUGUAGGCGGCCUGGAAGGUCAGCUGUGAAAACUCGAGGCUCAACCUCGAGACGUCGGUUGAAACCACCUGGCUAGAGUCCGGAAGAGGAGAGUGGAAUUCCCGGUGUAGCGGUGAAAUGCGCAGAUAUCGGGAAGAACACCAGUGGCGAAGGCGAUCUGCUGGGCCGGUACUGACACUGAGGGACGAAAGCGUGGGGAGCGAACGGG
rnacentral:rRNA from 1 species